rnacentral:tRNA from 1 species
UGGCCGGUAGCCCAGUUGGUAGAGCGACGCACUGAUAAUGCGGUGGUCGCAGGUUCGAGGCCUGCCUGGCCAGCCA